rnacentral:sRNA from 1 species
ACUUUUGUGCCAGUGGAUACAGUCUAAAUUGCAGGAGUAUAUGUUUAAUAGACCAUACAGCAGAAAAUUGGAGGCCGAAGCUGACAAAAUUGGACUACUGCUUGCUGCAAAGGCUCUCAAAAUUAGAGAGAUGUGUAAUUGUCCACCACUGUCUAAUCCAGACCCUCGAUUACUAUUCAAACUCAGCAUGAAGCAUUUUCUUGAAGAAUCAGAGAAAGAAGACCUAAAUAUCAUGAAGAAACAGAAAAUGGAUACUCUUCCCAUUCAAAAACAGGAGCAAAUACCAUUAACAUACAUAGUUGAGAAAAGAACUGGCAGUUGAAUUAAAAUUUAUGAGACACAAGAUAUAUGAAGAAUGUUGCAGUCCUUAUCAUUUUAUGUUACUUUUUAAAAAAUGAUGUUUGAAGUG